UUAUUAAUAUUUAAGUAGUAAUAGUUAUGUUCUUGAAACUUAAAAAAUUUGGCGGUAUUUUAGUCUAUCCAGAGGAACCUGUUUUGUAAUCGAUAAUCCACGAUGGACCUUACUUAAAUUUGUAAUCAGUUUAUAUACCGUCGUUAUCAGAAUAUUUUAUAAGAAUAAUAAUAUUCAAUAAUUUUUAUUAAAAUUUAUAUCAGAUCAAGGUGUAGCUUAUAUUUAAGCAAUAAUGGGUUACAAUAAAUAUAUUUAUACGGAUAAAAUUAUGAAAAAAUUUUUGAAGGUGGAUUUGGUAGUAAAAUUAUAUAGAUUAAUAAUUUGAUUUUAGCUCUAAAAUAUGUACACAUCGCCCGUCGCUCUUAUUAUUAAGGUAAGAUAAGUCGUAACAUAGUAGAUGUACUGGAAAGUGUAUCUAGAAUGA
rnacentral:rRNA from 1 species